CUAGACUCCUACGGGAGGCAGCAGUGGGGAAUAUUGGGCAAUGGGCGCAAGCCUGACCCAGCAACGCCGCGUGAAGGAAGAAGGCUUUCGGGUUGUAAACUUCUUUUCUCAGGGACGAAGCAAGUGACGGUACCUGACUAAGAAGCCCCGGCUAACUACGUGCCAGCAGCCGCGGUAAUACGUAGGGGGCAAGCGUUAUCCGGAUUUACUGGGUGUAAAGGGAGCGUAGACGGCCGUGCAAGCCAGGAGUGAAAGCCCGGGGCCCAACCCCGGGACUGCUCUUGGAACUGUGCGGCUGGAGUGCGGGAGGGGCAGGCGGAAUUCCUGGUGUAGCGGUGAAAUGCGUAGAUAUCAGGAGGAACACCGGCGGCGAAGGCGGCCUGCUGGACCGCGACUGACGUUGAGGCUCGAAAGCGUGGGGAGCGAACAGGAUUAGAUACCCUAGUA
rnacentral:rRNA from 1 species